GUUUUCCUCCUUUCCCAUCCCCAGCAGUUGUCUCUGUAGGAGUGGAGGGACUUUCUUUUUUUGUGGUUGUAUUUGGAGAGAAAGAGCUUUGGAGAUUUUUUUUUUUUCUGGAGCACAUAGAUGGGACAAGAGGGGAGACCCCUGCCUGGCCUGAAGAAUUGGAUUUUGGCCCUGAUGAAAGAGGAAAUGGGGCAGAGACUGCCUGAAUGGAGUUAAGAAAAUGCCUGGGGAGACUCUGAGCUCAAGGAGGCCCAUGUUGGGAUCCAGGGCCAACACAGCAUCAGAUGCAUCGAACUCACAGAACAUCGCUCCCCAGCUGCUGGCUCGCGGUUCUGAGAGUGCCUGAAUAGAAAACCACUCAUUUCCCUUCGCAAAAGAGGCGCCCAAAGCAGAUAUUUCAAUAUAUUCCAAUUUAGCCGAGGGAAGCCAGAACAUGGAUGUUGUUGCCAAGGAAACCACCUCCUUCCUCCUGUGUGCUGUGCAUACGUGUAUCACUUCAUCUCUCUGCUCUCCAAGCUUGAAUCUAGAUCUGACGUGGAUAUCCUGCCACAGUUCCGAAGUCUACCUAGUGCCCCAGCCGAACCUGCCCUGGCUCCUAGGUGGGGUAUGGACAUCUGUGACAUCCCUCCCCAACACCCCACCAAGCUGGGCUGCAAGACGGGUUAUGGUGGCCCCAUGACUUCCUUCCUUGAUCAAAACCUAAAAAGGUGGGAAUGAAAGAAGCUCCUAACCCUCCUGGCUUUUUUCCCAAAGCCAGGAGGCAGCUCCUGAAUGGUGGAUUUUGGACUACUGGUGAGGCUGUCAGCAAAGGGCCUGGCCCAGAGAGAUGCUCAAGAGUAGGAUGAAAAGACCGUGGGCUUCUUCCUCUGCAAAAGGAAAGGUUUGGGACUGAUGGAUGCUGAAAAGUCUAGAUCUUCAUAAUCCUCAACAGCUUCACUGCCACUGCACACACAAAAUGAGUGUGCCCUAUAUUUCCAGCCCUCUGAUGAAUACGAAAAGAGCCUGAAGAACUCAUCUUCCUGGUCGCAAAGUACUUUAAAAUAUAUAAUCCCUCAAUCUUAAACAUACACAUUUUAUUGCUUUUUAUUAUACAAUAAUACAUAUUUACUAUUGAAAAUACAGAUAAGAAAAAAGAAAAUGGUUCAUAAUAAUACUACCCAGGUUUAAAAAAUACUAUUCAGCCUUAUGUUGAAGAAUCUGACUCUUUUCCUAUGCAAGCAUGUAUUUCAAGCAAAACUGGACACUUCAUGUGUACCUUGUUUUGUGAUCUUUUUUUCCCAAAUUAAUAUAUAAUCAAUAUCUUUUUGUAUCAAUCUUCAAUCCUUUCUUCUGUCACUUAUUUUUAAUGGUUAACAGUCAUCUACUAUAUAGAUAUUCUGUAAUUUAUUAAAGUGAUCCCUCAU
rnacentral:lncRNA from 1 species